rnacentral:lncRNA from 1 species
AGGGCUCAGGAUGGGUGUUGUUUGUGUGUGUGUGUGUGUGUGUGUGCUAACCCUGUUUGCUUUGGUUUUAACUCUGCAGUUUCUGUUAUGUUCUCCACAAAUGUAGCACUGCAGUAGGAGCUAUAGACAUAGGUUUUUAACUCUGCAGUUUCUGUUCACGUUCUCCACACAUGUAGCACUGCAGUAGGAGCUAUAGACAUAUGCCUCAAAUUAAGCAGAAAAAAUGUGAUUAUACUGAUAAACGUUUUGCUUGUGUCUCCAGCUGCGGCGAUGUGAGACCUGCUCCACGAUCCAUCCCCUGGGAAUUUCAAAUCUGUCCCAAGACCUCUGGCACGUGCUGGUUGGAAGUUUGCCUUAAUGACCCCUGGAAACCAGUUGGGCUGCCGGCUGGCCGGGAGCAGCAGUUUGUGUUGUGUGGAGAGCAGCUGGAUGGAUGGAUGGAACCUCCUCUCACCAUCCUGUGCUUCCCUGAAGCGAGUACUUCAGACUCACCAGCGGAGAAGCAGACUUGCUGUGGAAAAACGCUCGGGAUCUUUGUGCAAGAGGUAAGUGUAUUUUCACGAGGUUUGAGCGUGAAAUGGGUUGUGUGUGCAGUGUGUGCCACAGCCUGGCUCAGCCCCGGCUCUAACGGCCACAGAGCUCCAUCCAGAGACUCUGUCAGAGCACGAUUUCCCUUUGGAGCUGAUCUGAUGUACCUGAGCAUUGCCCCCUAA